GAUGAACGCUAGCUACAGGCUUAACACAUGCAAGUCGCGGGGCAGCAUGGGGGUUGCUUGCAAUCCCCGAUGGCGACCGGCGCACGGGUGAGUAACGCGUAUCCAACCUGCCCUUCACCACGGGAUAACCCGGCGAAAGUCGGACUAAUACCGUAUGUUGUCCAUUGACGGCACCGAUUUGGACGAAAGGUUUGGCGGUGAAGGAUGGGGAUGCGUCCGAUUAGCUGGACGGCGGGGUGACGGCCCACCGUGGCGACGAUCGGUAGGGGUUCUGAGAGGAAGGUCCCCCACACUGGAACUGAGACACGGUCCAGACUCCUACGGGAGGCAGCAGUGAGGAAUAUUGGUCAAUGGGCGUAAGCCUGAACCAGCCAAGUAGCGUGCAGGAUGACGGCCCUAUGGGUUGUAAACUGCUUUUAUGCGGGGAUAAAGUGGCCCACGUGUGGGUUUUUGCAGGUACCGCAUGAAUAAGGACCGGCUAAUUCCGUG
rnacentral:rRNA from 1 species